AUCUACGGCCAUACCACCCUGAACGUGCCCGAUCUUGUCUGAUCUCGGAAGCUAAGCAGGGUCGGGCCUGGUUAGUACUUGGAUGGGAGACCACCUGGGACUACUGGGUGCUGUAGGCU
rnacentral:rRNA from 1 species